rnacentral:rRNA from 1 species
GACGAACGCUGGCGGCGUGCCUAAUACAUGCAAGUCGAACGAGUGGCGGACGGGUGAGUAACACGUGGGAACCUACCCAUCAGAGGGGGAUAACAAAUGGAAACGGUAACUAAUACCGCAUACCCUCAGAUGUUUCCUGAUGUGAUUAGCUAGUAGGUGGGGUAAGGGCGCACCUAGGCGACGAUCACUAGCUGGUCUGAGAGGAUGACCAGCCAAACUGGAACUGAGACACGGUCCAGACUCCUACGGGAGGCAGCAGUUGGGAAUAUUGCACAAUGGGCGCAAGCCUGAUGCAGCCAUGCCGCGUGUGUGAAGAAGGCCUUCGGGUUGUAAAGCACUUUCAGCGAGGAGGCGUUACUCGCAGAAGAAGCACCGGCUAACUCCGUGCCAGCAGCCGCGGUAAUAC